rnacentral:misc_RNA from 1 species
GAUGAAGAACGUAGCGAAAUGCGAUAAGUAAUGUGAAUUGCAGAAUUCAGUGAAUCAUCGAAUCUUUGAACGCACAUUGCGCCCCUUGGUAUUCCGAGGGGCAUGCCUGUUCGAGCGUCAUUAUAACCCCUCAAGCUCAGCUUGGUGUUGGGGCCUGCUGCACUGGCAGCCCUUAAAAUCAGUGGCGGCGCCAUCUGGCUCUAAGCGUAGUAAUUCUUCUCGCUAUGGAGUCCUGGUGGAUGCUUGCCAUCAACCCCCAAUUUUUCUAUGGUUGACCUCGGAUCAGGUAGGGAUACCCGCUGAACUUAAGCAUAUAAGUAAGCGGAGGA